UACGUAGGGGGCUAGCGUUGUCCGGAUUUAUUGGGCGUAAAGAGCGUGUAGGCGGUCCGGUAAGUCCGCUGUGAAAGUCGGGGGCUCAACCCUCGAAUGCCGGUGGAUACUGUCGGGCUAGAGUGCGGAAGAGGCGAGUGGAAUUCCUGGUGUAGCGGUGAAAUGCGCAGAUAUCAGGAGGAACACCAAUUGCGAAGGCAGCUCGCUGGGACGUAACUGACGCUGAGACGCGAAAGCGUGGGAGC
rnacentral:rRNA from 1 species